rnacentral:rRNA from 1 species
GGUCAAGUGACUAAGUGCAUGUGGUGGAUGCCUUGGCGAUUACAGGCGAUGAAGGACGUUGUAGCCUGCGAAAAGCUGCGGGGAGCUGGCAAACAAGCUUUGAUCCGCAGAUGUCCGAAUGGGGAAACCCACCCCGCAAGGGGUAACCCAGACUGAAUACAUAGGUCUGAGGUGGCGAACCCGGCGAACUGAAACAUCUAAGUAGCCGGAGGAAUAGAAAUCAACCGAGAUUCCCUAAGUAGUGGCGAGCGAACAGGGACCAGCCUGCAAGAGAUAACUAGUCUGUUAGUGGAACGCUCUGGAAAGUGCGGCCGUAGUGGGUGAUAGCCCCGUACGCGAAAACAGAUUAGCGAGACUGAGCUUGCGACAAGUAGGGCGGGACACGUGAAAUCCUGUCUGAAGAUGGGGGGACCAUCCUCCAAGGCUAAAUACUCGUAAUCGACCGAUAGUGAACCAGUACCGUGAGGGAAAGGCGAAAAGAACCCCGGGAGGGGAGUGAAAUAGAUCCUGAAACCGCAUGCAUACAAACAGUGGGAGCCUCAGCAAUGGGGUGACUGCGUACCUUUUGUAUAAUGGGUCAGCGACUUACGUUCAGUAGCGAGCUUAACCGAAUAGGGGAGGCGUAGCGAAAGCGAGUCUGAAUAGGGCGAUUCAGUUGCUGGGCGUAGACCCGAAACCAGAUGAUCUAUCCAUGGCCAGGAUGAAGGUGCCGUAACAGGUACUGGAGGUCCGAACCCACUAACGUUGAAAAGUUAGGGGAUGAGCUGUGGAUAGGGGUGAAAGGCUAAACAAAUCUGGAAAUAGCUGGUUCUCCCCGAAAGCUAUUUAGGUAGCGCCUCAUGUAUCACCACCGGGGGUAGAGCACUGUAAUGGUUGGAGGGGUCAUUGCGAUCUACUCCGCCAUAGCAAACUCCGAAUACCGGUGAGUGCGAUCAUGGGAGACAGACAGUGGGUGCUAACGUCCAUUGUCAAGAGGGAAACAACCCAGACCGCCAGCUAAGGUCCCCAAGCCAUGGUUAAGUGGAAAACGAAGUGGGAAGGCAUAGACAGUCAGGAAGUUGGCUUAGAAGCAGCCAUCCUUCAAAGAAAGCGUAAUAGCUCACUGAUCGAGUCGUCCUGCGCGGAAGAUGUAACGGGGCUCAAACCAUGCACCGAAGCUGCGGAUAUCCGUAAGGAUAUGGUAGGGGAGCGUUCUGUAGGUCUGCGAAGGUGAGGGGUAACCCUUGCUGGAGAUAUCAGAAGUGCGAAUGCUGACAUGAGUAGCGAUAAAGCGUGUGAAAAGCACGCUCGCCGAAAGCCCAAGGUUUCCUGCGCAACGUUCAUCGGCGCAGGGUGAGUCGGCCCCUAAGGCGAGGCCGAAAGGCGUAGUCGAUGGGAAACGGGUCAAUAUUCCCGUACCGAUCUGUAAUGCGAUGGGGGGACGGAGAAGGUUAGCUCAGCCAUCUGUUGGAAUAGGUGGUUUAAGCGUGUAGGCGUGCUGCAUAGGCAAAUCCGUGCGGCUUAGUCGAGGCGUGAUGACGAGGAUCUUCGGAUCUGAAGUGAGUGAUACCCAGCUUCCAGGAAAAGCCUCUAAGCUUCAGUUACAGAUUGACCGUACCGCAAACCGACACAGGUGGGCAGGAUGAAAAUUCUAAGGCGCUUGAGAGAACUCAGGAGAAGGAACUCGGCAAAUUGAUACCGUAACUUCGGGAGAAGGUAUGCCCCGGUAGCGUGAAGCCCCUGCGGGUGGAGCGUGAUGGGGUCGCAGAGAAUCGGUGGCUGCAACUGUUUAAUAAAAACACAGCACUCUGCAAAGGCGAAAGCCGACGUAUAGGGUGUGACGCCUGCCCGGUGCCGGAAGGUUAAGUGAUGGGGUGCAAGCUCUUGAUCGAAGCCCCGGUAAACGGCGGCCGUAACUAUAACGGUCCUAAGGUAGCGAAAUUCCUUGUCGGGUAAGUUCCGACCUGCACGAAUGGCGUAAUGAUGGCCACACUGUCUCCUCCUGAGACUCAGCGAAGUUGAAAUGUUUGUGAAGAUGCAAUCUCCCCGCGGCUAGACGGAAAGACCCCAUGAACCUUUACUGUAGCUUUGCAUUGGACUUUGACGGGACUUGUGUAGGAUAGGUGGGAGGCUGUGAGGCGUGGUCGCCAGAUCGCGCGGAGCCGACGUUGAAAUACCACCCUGGUGUCGUUGAGGUUCUAACCUUGGUCCGUGAAUCCGGAUCGGGGACCGUGCAUGGCAGGCAGUUUGACUGGGGCGGUCUCCUCCCAAAGUGUAACGGAGGAGUACGAAGGUCUUCUAAGCACGGUCGGACAUCGUGCUCAUAGUGCAAUGGCAAAAGAAGGCUUGACUGCGAGUCCCACAAGACGAGCAGGUGCGAAAGCAGGUCAUAGUGAUCCGGUGGUUCUGUAUGGAAGGGCCAUCGCUCAACGGAUAAAAGGUACUCUGGGGAUAACAGGCUGAUUCCGCCCAAGAGUUCAUAUCGACGGCGGAGUUUGGCACCUCGAUGUCGGCUCAUCACAUCCUGGGGCUGUAGCCGGUCCCAAGGGUAUGGCUGUUCGCCAUUUAAAGUGGUACGUGAGCUGGGUUUAAAACGUCGUGAGACAGUUUGGUCCCUAUCUGCCGUGGGCGCUGGAAAUUUGAGGGUAUUUGCCCCUAGUACGAGAGGACCGGAGUGGACGAACCUCUGGUGUACCGGUUGUCACGCCAGUGGCAUCGCCGGGUAGCUAAGUUCGGAAGAGAUAAACGCUGAAAGCAUCUAAGCGUGAAACUCGCCUCAAGAUGAGAUUUCCCGGGAGUUCAACUCCCCUGAAGGGUCGUCCAAGACCAGGACGUUGAUAGGUCAGGUGUGGAAGCGCAGUAAUGCGUUAAGCUAACUGAUACUAAUUGCCCGUGCGGCUUGACCCU